rnacentral:misc_RNA from 1 species
GAUGAAGAACGCAGCGAAAUGCGAUAAGUAGUGUGAAUUGCAGAAUUCAGUGAAUCAUCGAAUCUUUGAACGCACAUUGCGCCCCUUGGUAUCCCGAGGGGCAUGCCUGUUCGAGCGUCAUUUCACCACUCAAGCCUGGCUUGGUGUUGGGCGACGUCCUCUUUGGGGACGCGCCUCGAAACGCUCGGCGGCGUGGCACCGGCUUUAAGCGUAGCAGAAUCUUUCGCUUUGGAAGUCGGGGCCCCGUCUGCCGGAAGACCUGCUCGCAAGGUUGACCUCGGAUCAGGUAGGGAUACCCGCUGAACUUAAGCAUAUCAAUAAGCGGAGGA